rnacentral:rRNA from 1 species
UACGUAGGGGGCAAGCGUUGUCCGGAAUUAUUGGGCGUAAAGCGCGUGUAGGCGGCUCGGUAAGUCUGCUGUGAAAGUCCAGGGCUACAACCCUGGAAUGCCGGUGGAUACUGUCGAGCUCGAGUCCGGAAGAGGCGAGUGGAAUUCCUGGUGUAGCGGUGAAAUGGCGCAGAUAUCAGGAGGAACACCAAUGGCGAAGGCAGCUCGCUGGGACGGUACUGACGCUGAGGUGCGAAAGCGUGGGGAGCAAACAGG